UUUAUAAUAUUUAUAAAAAAAGAAGUGAAUGAAUGUUGUAUGAAAAAAAUAAUAGAAUUACAGUAGAACCUCGAUUAACCAUUAGUGUCGGGACCGAAGCUUAGACGGAUAAUCGAAAAGACAGUUAAGCGAGCAACAAUUUUUUUAAAUAUACAUAGGUAAUAAGAUUUUACUGCAACACGCAAGAAGCCCGUGCAAGUAUGACCUGACGGUUAACUGAGAAAGACGGUUAAUCGGGGGACGGAUAAUCGAGGUUCUACUAUGAUACUAUUGGUAAAUCUAUAGUUGAAGUGGGUUAGAAAAACUAAAAAAUCCAGUUGCAAUAUGGACGUAUAGUACUAGUAUUAAAUAGUUACACGAAACCAACACUUGGUGAUAUCAUUAGGAAUAUGCAAGGAUAAUAUUCACGUUUGAGGGCCUUUGAAAAAGUCUUUGAAGAACCUUUGAAUAAGUUUAAAUUUACUGAAAUAACAAAAUUUUGAUAACUUCGCAAGAUAUUUAGUCAGCCAUGGCGAAGGCUAGUUUGGACUACUAUAGAGGUGCACCUCUACGCGUCACGAAAACGUGCAGGUAACCACAGAGCGCUAUAAUGUGGCAAUUUCCAGUGGAUGAUUGAUAAACUGUUUCUCACUAAAAUUUAAACUUAAUUUGGUAACUCCUAAAUUUACAUUGAACAUUGUAUUCAUGUAAUUAAUGGUAUUUUAUAAAAAAAAAUC